rnacentral:rRNA from 1 species
GAGGAAAAGAAACCAACAGGGAUUGCCUUAGUAACGGCGAGUGAAGCGGCAAAAGCUCAAAUUUGAAAUCUGGCACCUUCGGUGUCCGAGUUGUAAUUUGAAGAAGGUAACUUUGGAGUUGGCUCUUGUCUAUGUUCCUUGGAACAGGACGUCACAGAGGGUGAGAAUCCCGUGCGAUGAGAUGCCCAAUUCUAUGUAAAGUGCUUUCGAAGAGUCGAGUUGUUUGGGAAUGCAGCUCUAAGUGGGUGGUAAAUUCCAUCUAAAGCUAAAUAUUGGCGAGAGACCGAUAGCGAACAAGUACAGUGAUGGAAAGAUGAAAAGAACUUUGAAAAGAGAGUGAAAAAGUACGUGAAAUUGUUGAAAGGGAAGGGCUUGAGAUCAGACUUGGUAUUUUGCGAUCCUUUCCUUCUUGGUUGGGUUCCUCGCAGCUUACUGGGCCAGCAUCGGUUUGGAUGGUAGGAUAAUGACUAAGGAAUGUGGCUCUACUUCGGUGGAGUGUUAUAGCCUUGGUUGAUACUGCCUGUCUAGACCGAGGACUGCGUCUUUUGACUAGGAUGUUGGCAUAAUGAUCUUAAGCCACCCGUCU